rnacentral:rRNA from 1 species
AGCGGUGAAAUUCCAAACGAACUUGGAGAUAGCUGGUUCUCUCCGAAAUAGCUUUAGGGCUAGCCUCGCAAAGAGGAUGCUGGAGGUAGAGCUCUGUUUGGACUAGGGGCCCGUCAAGGGUUACUGAAUUCAGAUAAACUGCGAAUUCCAGACAUUUAUGUGCGGGAGUCAGACUGCGAGUGAUAAGAUCCGUAGUCGAAAGGGAAACAGCCCAGAUCACCAGUUAAGGUCCCAAAAUUCAUGCUAAGUGGAAAAGGAUGUGGAGUUGCGCAGACAACUAGGACGUUGGCUCAGAAGCAGCCAUCAUUCAAAGAGUGCGUAAUAGCUCACUAGUCGAGUGACGCCGCGCCGAAAAUUUACCGGGGCUAAGCAUGAUACCGAAACUGUGGAUGUGCGUUUAUGCACGUGGUAGGAGAGCGUUCUAGCGGCGGUGAAGCAUGACCGAGAGGACAUGUGGAGCUUCUAGAAGUGAGAAUGCCGGUAUGAGUAACGAAAGACAGGUGAGAAUCCUGUCCGCCGCAAGACUAAGGUUUCCUGGGGCAGGCUCGUCCGCCCAGGGUAAGUCGGGACCUAAGGCGAGGCCGAGAGGCGUAGUCGAUGGACAACAGGUUGAAAUUCCUGUACUGCACCGAAUCGUUAUGAGCGAUGGAGGGACGCAGGAGGCUAGCAGCGCGUGGUGCUGGAUACCACGUUCAAGCGUCAAGUCUGAGAGCGAGUCAAAUGCUUGCUCUCAUAAGGACAAGGCGUGAUGAGGAGCGAAAUUAAAGUAGCGAAGGCUGCGACGUCACACUGCCGAGAAAAGCUUCUAGCCAGAGACGGUGCACCCGUACCGCAAACCGACACAGGUAGUCGAGGAGAGUAUCCUCAGGUGAGCGAGAGAACUCUCGUUAAGGAACUCGGCAAAAUGGCCCCGUAACUUCGGGAGAAGGGGCGCUGGUCGCAAGAUCAGCCGCAGUGAAAAGGCCCAAGCAACUGUUUAUCAAAAACACAGGCAUCUGCAAAAUCGUAAGAUGAAGUAUAGGUGCUGACACCUGCCCGGUGCUGGAAGGUUAAGAGGAGAGCUUAGCGCAAGCGAAGGUUUGAAUUGAAGCCCCAGUAAACGGCGGCCGUAACUAUAACGGUCCUAAGGUAGCGAAAUUCCUUGUCGGGUAAGUUCCGACCUGCACGAAAGGUGUAAUGAUUUGGGCACUGUCUCAACGAGAGACUCGGUGAAAUUAUAAUACCCGUGAAGAUGCGGGUUACCCGCGACAGGACGGAAAGACCCCAUGGAGCUUUACUGCAGUUUAAUAUUGGGUAUCUGUCAAGCAUGUACAGGAUAGGUAGGAGCCGGAGAAGAUAGGACGCCAGUCUUAUCAGAGGCGCUGUUGGGAUACUACCCUUGCUUGACGGAUGCUCUAACUCAGG